rnacentral:rRNA from 1 species
AUAUCAAUAAGCGGAGGAAAAGAAACCAACAGGGAUUGCCUCAGUAACGGCGAGUGAAGCGGCAACAGCUCAAAUUUGAAAUCUGGCUCUUUCAGGGUCCGAGUUGUAAUUUGUAGAAGAUGCUUUGGGUGUGGCUCCGGUCUAAGUUCCUUGGAACAGGACGUCAUAGAGGGUGAGAAUCCCGUACGUGACUGGUUGCCUUCGCUCGUGUAAAGCUCUUUCGACGAGUCGAGUUGUUUGGGAAUGCAGCUCAAAAUGGGUGGUAAAUUUCAUCUAAAGCUAAAUAUUGGCCAGAGACCGAUAGCGCACAAGUAGAGUGAUCGAAAGAUGAAAAGCACUUUGGAAAGAGAGUUAAACAGUACGUGAAAUUGUUGAAAGGGAAGCGCUUGCAACCAGACUUGCAUGCUGUUGAUCAUCCAGGUUUCUACCUGGUGCACUCGGCAGUGUUCAGGCCAGCAUCGGUUUCGGUGGGCGGAUAAAGGCCUUGGGAAUGUAGCUUCUUUCGGGGAGUGUUAUAGCCCUCGGUGCAAUGCGCCCUACCGGGACCGAGGACCGCGCUUCGGCUAGGAUGCUGGCGUAAUGGUUGUAAGCGA